GGUAAAGGAGUCGGGGGGGGGGGGAUGCGUCCCAUUAGUUAGUUGGCGGGGUAACGGCCCACCAAGACGACGAUGGGUAGGGGUUCUGAGAGGAAGGUCCCCCACAUUGGAACUGAGACACGGUCCAAACUCCUACGGGAGGCAGCAGUGAGGAAUAUUGGUCAAUGGGCGCAAGCCUGAACCAGCCAAGUAGCGUGCAGGAUGACGGCCCUAUGGGUUGUAAACUGCUUUUAUAAGGGAAUAAAGUGGGUCACGUGUGACUUUUUGCAUGUACCUUAUGAAUAAGGACCGGCUAAUUCCGUG
rnacentral:rRNA from 1 species